rnacentral:rRNA from 1 species
UGAGGACUGGUGCUUGCACUGGUCUAAGGAGUUGCGAACGGGUGAGUAACGCGUAGGUAACCUACCUCAUAGCGGGGGAUAACUAUUGGAAACGAUAGCUAAUACCGCAUGACAAUAGGGUACACAUGUACCCUAUUUAAAAGGGGCAAAUGCUUCACUAUGAGAUGGACCUGCGUUGUAUUAGCUAGUUGGUAAGGUAACGGCUUACCAAGGCGACGAUACAUAGCCGACCUGAGAGGGUGAUCGGCCACACUGGGACUGAGACACGGCCCAGACUCCUACGGGAGGCAGCAGUAGGGAAUCUUCGGC